UCCCCAAAACCAUUUCUGCUCUGCAAACCAAAGUGGGUCUAGAAGCUGGUGAUGACGACGACGGCCUCGACCGCGACGAAGACGAUGAUGAAGAUAAGGAUCUUCGUUGGGAGUUCCACCGUUUUUUCCGUAUCAAUUGUGAAAUUAUUGUUAUUGUUACUGUUCGUAAUAUCUGUUUGUACUAGUAGUAGAACAACGACUUGCGUGGCUGCAAGUGGUGGUGGUGGUGGUGUAUUCAGCGUAAGUUACAAAUUCGCCGGCAUGGAACGCUCCCUCAGUGCCCUAAAAGCUCACGAUAACCUCCGACACCUUACUAUGCUUGCCGGCGUCGACCUCCCCUUGGGCGGAACUGGCCGCCCCGACACUGUCGGGCUCUACUAUGCUAUGAUUGGGAUUGGAACACCUUCGAGGGACUACUUUGUGCAAGUAGAUACUGGAAGUGACAUAAUGUGGGUCAAUUGCAUUCAGUGCAUAGAGUGUCCCAAAAGAGGCUACCAUGGUCUGGAACUUACCCUAUACAAUCCCAAGGACUCUCUCACAGGAAAAUUGGUCUCUUGCGAUCAAGAGUUUUGCUUAGAGAUCAAUGGAGGUCCAGUAUCAGGUUGCAUGGCUAAUGUAUCCUGUUUGUAUACUGAGGUAUAUGGAGAUGGAAGCUUUAGCAUUGGGUAUUUUGUAAAAGAUGUUGUCCAAUAUGAUGGAGUGUCUGGAGAUCUCCAAACUAAAUCUGCAAAUGGAAGUGUUAUAUUUGGGUGUGGUGCUAGACAGUCUGGGGACCUGGGUUCAUCUGAAGAUGCACUUGAUGGGAUACUAGGUUUCGGAAAAUCAAAUUCAUCUAUCAUUUCGCAACUAGCUUCAUCUGGAAAAGUAAAAAAAAUGUUUGCCCAUUGCUUGGAUGGUGUAAAUGGUGGUGGUAUCUUUGCAAUUGGGCAUGUUGUGCAACCAAAAGUUAACACUACUCCAUUAGUACCAAAUCAGCCACAUUACAAUGUCAAUAUGACGGCAGUUGAAGUUGGUCGUGAUUUUCUAAAUCUUCCAACAGAUGUAUUUGAGAUUGGAGACAAGAAAGGGACAAUAAUCGACAGUGGUACAACUUUGGCUUAUCUUCCUGAAUUGAUUUAUGAGCCACUAGUAACAAAGAUACUCUCUUGGCAGUCUGAUGUCAAACUUCAAACUCUUCAUGAUCAGUAUACAUGCUUUCAAUACUCUGGAAGCAUUGAUGAUGGUUUUCCUCCUGUCACUUUCCAUUUUGAAAGUUCGCUUUCUUUGAAGGUUUAUCCUCGCGAGUAUCUGUUCCCCUUUGAAGGUUUAUGGUGUAUUGGUUGGCAAAACAGUGCAAUGCAAUCCAGAGAUGGGAAGAACAUGACACUUUUGGGAGGUAUGCACCUACUAAUUUUACAGACUUAGUACUCUCAAACAAGUUGGUCGUGUAUGAUCUUGAGAAUCAGGCCAUUGGAUGGACUGAAUACAACUGCAUGGGAGCAUGAGAAGAGAAGUGAUUGGAAUGCCAUGAGAGUGUCCGAAAGGCUUUCAAGUGGAAGCUCACACCUUGCCUUGCUAGAUCCCAGCAAAUACCAUUCCAACUCUGCCGUUAGAAGUUUCGUAACAUUGCAUUUGUCAUCUACAAUCUGAAGUUUGCUUUGAAGAUCUCAAACAGUAAAGCAAUUCACAGGUAUCAAAAGAAGGAUUCUAUGUAUCUAGCUCCUGCACUAUGUCCUCGCUAUCACCAUCACCUUUUAAUUUUUGUGAGUUGUAGCCAGCCAAAAAGUCCACUCUUACUAGCCAAUCCAUUAAAGGAUAAUAACUAUAGAACCUGCUUAGUUUUUUUUUUAAACUUCCUUUUCAUAUGUUUAUCAUUACUGAAAGAACUUUUGAGGACAAUCUCAGAUUUGAGUGUGAAAUGUCUUGCCGAGCUGGAGUGAAAUGGUUGAUUGCUCUUUCCUCAGUUUAUGAUUAUACUUGCAUUGGAGCUCCAAAGAGAGAUCACUCUAUCAACUGUUUCUAAUGGAUAGCUAAACUUUUCAAAUUUUCUAUUUUGUUUUUGCUACAUUGGAGGCCGUAGCUUGGGGGAAGGAGGAAUCAAAACCUUGACCAUCCUAAUGAGAUGCUAGGGUUUUGGCCAACUAAGUUGGCCCUAGUUGAUUAAAAUUUAUUUGGUGAUUGAGGUUUUGUUUUUCCCCUAGAAGAUAUCAAUACAAUAAUGCUAUUAUGAUGAUGAUCAUAUUUUGUUUACCACGUGAUGUGCUACAUCGAUUUGACAAACAUAAGUGGUGGGACCAAGUGGUGAUACCUUAGAUGGAAAACAAUUUUUGGUAUCCUAUAGGCUUGAUCUUUCAUUUUUUUUAUGACUACCAUGCUUUCAACAGUUUGUUCUCUGGGGCUUACACUGGAAAGAAUAGCAAGGAGAGGAAAGAUGAAU